UUGAGCCGUAUGCGAUGAAAGUCGCACGUACGGUUCUUGAAGGGGGAAAGCCGGAGAGGGCCUACCUAUCUUGAC
rnacentral:ncRNA from 1 species